UACGUAGGGUGCGAGCGUUAAUCGGAAUUACUGGGCGUAAAGCGUGCGCAGGCGGUCUGUUAAGACCGAUGUGAAAUCCUCGGGCUUAACCUGGGAACUGCAUUGGUGACUGGCAGGCUUUGAGUGUGGCAGAGGGAGGUAGAAUUCCACGUGUAGCAGUGAAAUGCGUAGAGAUGUGGAGGAAUACCGAUGGCGAAGGCAGCCUCCUGGGCCAACACUGACGCUCAUGCACGAAAGCGUGGGGAGCAAACAGG
rnacentral:rRNA from 1 species